AGCGGAGGAAAAGAAACUAACCAGGAUUCCCCUAGUAACGGCGAGUGAACAGGGAAGAGCCCAGCACCGAAGCCUGUGGUCAUUUGGUCACUAGGCAAUGUGGUGUUUAGGUCAUCUCGCAGUGGUGCUGCCUCAUCCUAAGUCCAACACUGAGUACGGUUGUUUGGACAUGGCCCAAGGAGGGUGAAAGGCCCGUGGGGGUGGGGAUCACAGUGCUGCUAUGAGUAGACCUUGGAGUCGGGUUGUUUGUGAAUGCAGCCCAAAGUGGGUGGUAAACUCCAUCCAAGGCUAAAUACUGGCACGAGUCCGAUAGCAAACAAGUACCGUGAGGGAAAGUUGAAA
rnacentral:rRNA from 1 species